UUUGACAAUUACAAUACAAAAGGAAAUUGCAAAAGCUUAGUUUCUUAUCUGCUUAUUUUCUCUAAUAUGCAAACUUGCUUUUCAGAUAUUAGAUGAUAAGCGGUUUCUUGUGAUCAGGCGUCGGUAUGAGACAUGGCGGGAACCAAAACUAAAGAACAAAGGUGCCCCAAUGAGGACGAUGGAAGAUUUAGAGAACACGACCAGGGAUGCAGUUGGCACCGAUACAAACCAUCCAUCACGCCUGCGGUCAAGAGAGUCUGGGCUUUCAAAGGAGAAGUAUGAUGAGAGCAAAUAUGAAUGUGAGGCUUCAAAGCAGCAAAGAGAAGUCCUUAAGCUGUCAAGAGAUUUUGAAUCGUUAACGACAAAGGAUGAAAAGAGUGGUUCAAGUGAGGCAGGCCAUGCCGCACACCCACUGGAU